GCUGUAAGGGGAGGGGAUUGUUCUGGAAUUGAGGUUUGAGGUUUGUGGUUCCGGGUGGCGGGGUGGCCUCUCCCUCCCCCAAACCUCCCUCCUCUGCUGUGUGCACACUGGGGUUUCAUCCAGGGGAUGAAGUGCCCCCCGGCCCCUGCAGACACUUGCUGCACCUUCCACAGUGGAAGGGGUCCCGCGCGCUCUUCUCUGGGGGCCUGGGCGGGUUGGAGCAGGGCCGAGCAGGGCGGCCACCGUGAAGGGCGCUCCUGUCAAGUCCAAACUCCACGUGAAGGCGAGGGAAGUAGCCGGGUGGUGACUGGGGGAGGCCGCACCCACACAGCCCCGCCCCGCAGGGUUUCAGAGCCGCUCACGGUGAGGGCCCACCUCCCUCGGGAGGCCAAGUGGGUGUGCGGUGUGAGGUUGGGCGUGCAUUCGGGCUCCGUGACCCCGUCUGGCCUCCACGCAUCACCUGUAGGGUGGAGGUGGUGGCAGGUGUCCUGGCCCCCGUGGGUCGGCCCUGUGUCAGGCGGGCUGGACAUCUGCCAGACGCUUCUCUUGCCCACUCUCCCGUGCCUGGGCUCCUUCGGACUGGUGCCCCCCCGCCCCCCCCCCCGGCACAUGGUGAGUGCAUCACUGUGCAGGAAAGGGUUAACUCGGCACACCCCAUGUGCCCAUAGCCCACAUUUUCCAAAGAAAGAUCUGGCCCGGGCCCAGCUCCUGGGAGGCAACCUCUGAGCCCUUCGGACGUCCUGCCUUGGUUUCCCUGGGGCCUUGGCCCACACCAGAGAGUCUCUGCUGAUGAUGGCAUCUAUGGGGGCCCUUGGGUCGCACAGUAUCAGCUCGACCUCUGGAGGGACAGAAGACUCAGGUCAGCUGCGUGUGUGUGACCGGCACCCAGCGAACUCAGAUGGCUUCCCUGGUUGGCCCCGCGUGUUGUCACAUAGGGUUUCGGGACAGCUGACCACCGUCCACACGCAGGAGGCCACCAUGCUGCUGCUUGGCUGAGCUCCCUGAACCCAAGGUUGGUCUGGGGGGCCCCGGAACUGCAUCUCUGCUGGUGGGCCCUGCAGGCAGCUGAGUGGGGAAGGUGCCGGCCCAUUUCUAUCACAGGCCACAGAGAGCAGUCCUGUCCCAGGACCCCCCCAAGUACAGACCCCUGCACAUUUUGCUGAGGCUUCCCGGGCCUUUGACCCACCUCUCUCCAGCUGCCCGCAUUCCCAGCUCUGGCCCCGCAGACCCCCCGCCCUGGAUCCCCGAGUCCCCGGGAAGAACCACAGGGCUCCAGGUGUGGGGAACCUCCGUGGGCUGGGGAGGCCUGUGCUCGCCCUCCUGCCCCGUCCCAGAUCUGCCAUCCUGGCCACGGGGAAGCAGACAGGGUGGAGGGGACACUGCGUGGCAGAACUUUGGACACGAAGACUUGUGUCUUCUCAGAAGCUGGGAUGCUGGGGGCUGGUGGGGGCUCCCGAAGGCGGCGUCUGGAUCUUUCUCCUCGGGCUCCGGUGAGGCUUCCAGCUUGGCCUCGCUGAGGCUUUGGGAGUGCCAGCAGAGCUGGGAUGGCCCGGCCCCGUCAUGCAGCGCCCCCAGAGGCCCUCCUGUGCCGGCCCUCCCAGAGGGGUCUCAGGCCCCAACGGUGGGUCUGUCCGGCCUUGGGGCCGUUGCUCAAAGUGGUUCCCCUGCCUCGACCACUCUCCCCCAUCUCUGCCUGCGGAAAACCUGGGCUCCCUCCAGGGCACAGAUGCCCCUUCUCCCCUGAGCCCUCUGGAACCUGCCCUCCCUGUUCAGCUCCACACCUGCCUCCAGGAAGCCCUCCUGAACCAUGUCUGCCCGUCUGACCUUCAUGUGUUCUCGGGUUCUGUGAACAGAAGUCUUGUCUGCCUGGAGAUCUCGGCUCCUGCAGGGCUCCCCAUGAGCCCCGGUUGUGCUGACUGAGGGGCGAGCAGGUACCAGGCGUGUGGGCCUGUAGAGGGUGCUGGGCCUUGCACGCAGAUGCCACGCACAGCCUGUACAGACUUGAGCAAGUUGCCCAUUGCUCCAAGCCUCAGUUUCCCCUUCUGUGAGAUGGGAUCAUAGCGGCACUGGCCUCACUGGGUCACUGGAAGGACUUAACGGUGAUGGAUCUCCUGGCCCCGCAGACUGUCCAGGUCCCAGCUUCCCCCAGAAGGCCCUCCGUCACCAUGCAGCCCUCCGCCCUUCACCCGUGUCCUGGGAACGCAAGUAUCCUGUUUGUUCUUGAGCUUUUGCCCAAUGUUAGCAUCCAGGGGGCUCCUGCACACAUCGAUAGCUAACGGUGGGCUUCGGGCUGGGUCUGUUUUGUCCUCCUGCGGAGUUCCUGGGUAGCUCCCAGGGGCAGCGGCCCUGUUUGUCACAAGGCAGCAGGACAGGCGGACAAGGGUUCUGGGCCUGGACCGGAAGAACCCAGCCGUGCCAUCCUCAGCUCUCUGACCUUGGGCAAUGACGGACCCUUCCUGAGCCUCGGUUUUCCCGUCUGUGCCCUGGGGCCAGUGCCCACCUCAGAGGGUUCUGGUGAGGAGUCCUGCUGUCUGUGAACGAGCUCAGGGCCAGGCCAUGAGAUGCCCGGGAAGGGGCGGCCGGCGGCGGCCGGGGUGCUCUUGCCCGUCCACCUGCCCUGCUUCUCUGGGCUGUGAGGACUUCUGACUGUGGCCACCUCCCUUUUACUCUUUCCCCAAGGCCACGAGGGCUUGCGGGGAGAGUCCUUCAGGAUCCCCCCGAAUAGGGGAGCCUGGCUGGCUCAGUUGUUAAGUGUCUGCCUUCAGCUCAGAUCAUGAUCCUGGGGUCGUGGGAUCGAGCCCCGUGUCGGGCUCCCUGCUCAGCGGGGAGUCUGCUUCUCCCUCUCCCUCUGCUGCUCCCCCUGCUUGUGUACUCGCUCUCUCUCAAAUAAAUAAAUAAAAUCUUUAAAAACAAACAAAAAAGAAUCCCCCAGAAUAAGCUCUCACUCUGCAGCCUGGGGAAACCGAGGCCUACAGAAGUUGCAGCCGGCGAAUCCAUCCUCCUCACGGUGGCUGGCUUGUCACCUUCUGAGUAGGGGCCUUGGGGACCUGGAGAUGAUAGAGUCCCUGCAGGAAAGGGACCCUCCACGACGCUGGGGUGAUUGGAAGCAAGUUUAAUGAGGUCACCGUGUUGGUGUAGGGACGUCUCAAGGCCUAGUGCAGGCCCGGGCCGGGAGCAGUGGGGCGCUGUCACCAGCCGGAGCCAAGGGCAGGGUGGGGCCCGGCAGGGGGGCACGGAAGGGCUGGGUGACCCUGCGGGAGGGCAGCCGGGCCCCUGGGGCACAGAGCAGGGUGCAGGACGCACACAGUGGGUCCAGAGGAGACACCUGGGUCACCAAAGGCAGGACUUCCACAAACAGCAAACGUUCCAUUUUUGAGAACUCACUUCACGAGAUUCAGGUAGUGCCGGAGUUAGCUGUGGCCCCCCCCUUGGCUUCCUGAGUCCAAAGUGAGAAGCCCCUCUGCGUGGGUGGCAGGCCAGCACUGGGCCCCAGGAGUCAGGGCGACCGCCUCCCCUAAACAAACAUCUGCCUUCGGGCUGCCCGGGGCCCCGGCCACUUCCUCACGUGCGGGCAGUGUCUUGCUGGCCUGGGAGGUACCCUCGCCCCUCGCCGUCCGGCGCGCCGGGGGGCGUCCCGAGCAUCUGGCCUCUACCGCCAGACGCCAGCAGGCGUUCCCCACCCUGGUAGCGACAACCACAACCGUCUCCAGCCGUUGCCAAGUGUCCCCUGGGGGACAGACCCGCCCCCUGUUAAGAACCCGUGGCCUAAAGAAAUGAGUCCUUCCCCCGAGUGAGGUGGGAGCACGACCCGCGCGGGUGUGGCCUCCUCCAGGGAGCCAGCUCCCCUUCUCCACGCGUCCUCAUCAUGCUCUGCCAGAGGAGGUGCCUGUUGCCUCCCUGACCCCACUCAGGGAGGGCGGGGACCCGCCGGGUGCCCACUGGGGGCCGAAUGGGAGGAAAAGCCUCGUGGCAGGUGCCUUGCAGCUCGCCGAGGGGUGGGGCCCCGGGGGAGGACCUUCCACCUUCUUUCUCUAGGGAGGAAAGAGGGGCCUGCGUAAGGACCCACCCGCAACCUGGUGGCCGGAGGCGACGUGACCAGCGGUCGGCUGUCACAGCCCCCAUGCGCCAGGACUUGGUUCUCACGAGGCCUCAGUCCGAUGUCACCGUGUGGUCAGAGCAUCACACCGGGGCAGGGAGAGCCGCCUCCAGGCCCCUGCUGGCUCCCUCCACGCGGGCCCCCUGGCUGCUCGGCGGCCUCCCCCCAGCGGCCGGCCGGGGUGGAGCGGCGGUGCCCCGUGAGUCGCCCCGUGAGUCACCCCACACACCGCGACUUGCACACGAUCUCUUGUGCUGCGCUGGCCCAUUCCGGCUCAGCCAGGUGCCGGCUGUGGCCAUUCUCCUGAGGGCUCUCGUGGCACCUUCCCGUGGCCUGUUUUCUCACACGCCGGCUCCUCUCUGCCACGGGACGCCGGUUUCUGACAGGCCGGGUGGGUUCGGUCAGUGUCAGGGCUAGCUGGAUCCUGGAGGGCCUGGGGGGCCAUCUUUGGGCUCGGGACGGGAGUUGCAAUGUGGUGUCCGUCAAGAGGGACACGCUUUCCGACCGUGGCCGUGUGGCUUCAGGCACGUGACUGAGCUCCCCUGGGCCUCGGUUGCUUCGUCUGUAAAAUGGGGAUCCUAAUGGAACCCCCUCCUCCGGCCACUGAGAAGGCAUGCAGAGGCCCGGCGCAGCCCCUGGCCUGGAGCCCCCACAUGGGCAUUGCUAGAGCUGCAGCUUGCCCCCAGCCAGGGGCCGGCGGGCUGCGCGGGGCCUCGCCGCAGUAGCACGACCUGGAGGGACCCCGGCAGGAGGACGGAGGCAGAGAAGGGCGCUCACUUCCCAGCUACUGGCCACGGUCAGUGGCCAUGGCCGGGGAAAGUCGGGACACAGGCCCACUGCAGGGGCGCUCGGGUGGCAGGUCGGCGCCCAGCGAGGGGGGAGGGAGAGAGCGAGGCUGGCACCUCUGCAAUGGGGCAGGGCCAGGGCAUCAGCCACGCCUGGAACCCCGGCCAGCUCCGCACUCCGGGGGCGGAUGGUCUGUGAGCACACGGAGCUCGUGGCUGGUGCAUUUUCUGCCUCUUUAUGGCAGCCGGGCUGGCGCUCCCCCCUCCCGGAGACAAACCAGACAGCCCUGGGGCUCCCCUGUUGCAUUCUUCUGCCUGAAGACAGACGGCAGUCUGAUGAGCGAGGGCAUCAGUUUUGUGCAGCAAGGGGAAAAAAACAAACCUUUAAAACAACUCAACGAUAAAAGUCCCUGCCAGCAGAAUGCCCAGCCUGGCGGCAGGUUUGUGGAGUCGCUGAAAUGAAGGGGGAUGCUGGCGGCUGAGACAGGGUGGCCUCGCUGGUCCUGUCCUGGGCCGUCUGGCGGCCGUCCAGGGGCGUGGGGCCCCAGCCCCACCCCGCGCUCCAGAAGGUUCCAUAUUUGUGCAGGUCCCUGGUGAGAGUCUCUCCCACACGUUUCCAUAGUUAUAACUUUCACUCCUGGUUACUCGACGCCUCUGUUCAUGACAAAAUAGUAAAAGAAGUUUCGAAAGGAGAGCAGAAGGUUUGUGCUCAAAGCCUGUUUGUCACCUGACUUCCACUUUGGAAGGGGCAGGUGCCCCGAGCCUCCACACCCCCCUUUGCACCCCCAAUGCCCUGCCCCCCCUCAGAGCCACCAUGACAAUGUCCACUUCUAGCCUUGGUCCCCAGGCUUGACUGGUGUAGGUGUGCAUGGGUCGUCUGAGCCCUGGCCGUGUCCGCAGCUCAGGUGGGUUUUGGGGGUCCCUCAGCUCAGACGUGUGAGGGGAAAUAAGUCGGGGCUGACUUCCGCGAUCCAGGCCCACCCAGAGUCUACGCUGAUGAGCGGAUGGCCUCUCCCCGUGGUCUUGGCCUGGCCCACGUGGGGCCUACGUGGCCCGUGAGCUCUGGGCUGGCGGCCUCAGCCCCUGGAGAGUCCCGUCGGCAGAGCGCCCAACCCGAGUUGGAAGUUUGCGUCCUCCGGGGGAGGCGGGGGGACGUGGGGUGAAGCUGAGGCUAGCUGGUGACCCUCUAUGCCCCUCUGUGCCCCUCGGGAGGAGGCGAGAGGACACCACAGCUGGUGGGCCGGCGGGGCCCGAGGCAUCCUGGGGGGCCCAGCUCUGUCUCGUGCUCAUGCCUGUGUGGAGGGCACACAGCGUCUCGGGCUCGGACGGGCCAUCCUCGAGCUUCCUGGGCAGGAACAGAGUCCCCCGGGCCUCUGGGGGUGGGGAGCCCCUGGGCCACGGCUGCAUCUCCCUGCCACUCUGCUCUGCUUCGUUCACUUGGCUGGGCCUCCCUCGUGCCCGGGCUGGGACCACCGGGCUCCCCGCUCACCUCUGGCCUACGUCCCUGAUUUUGGUCCUGACGGGCCUGCUGGCCUUGGCUCACAUGUUCACUCCACGUCUGGAGUGGGCAGGAGGGGUCACCUGACGCCGGCCACCCCGAGGCCUCCCCGUGCAGGGGCUGAGCCGGGGCUGGGGCAGGAGUGGAGUCCAGCCCUGGGGGUCGCCUGCAGCCCUUGACUUUCCACUCUCCCCAGCCCCGAAGGACGGUCUGGACUCUGCCGCCCCACCUGCGUGCAGGGACAUGACCCAGAGCCCAGAGGCGACCUGCGAGGAAAGUGCCAGAACCCUGGUUGGUGCCAGCAGCCUGGGGUUGCCCUGUGGGGACCAGGCACUCACGCACUCCAGGAGCUCAGUUGUCUGUCAUUCCUGUAGGGCAGGGGACUGGGUUCCCCCGUCCCCCGCACGACGGCUCCGCCCUUCUGGAGGACCCACCCCCGGUGGCCCUGUGGUCUCAGCACCAAGGCCUUGUCCAUCCUCGUGGGCAGACAAGUGCUGCCAAGUGUGGCCUUCAGCAGGCAUGUGACCCGAGCAAGCCCGAACCUUGGUCAGAAAUGCCCUCCUCAGAGCAGCCAGGGAAGACGGACUCUUAACCAUGAGGAUGAGAAGGCCCCACCCCGCACCUGACUGACACCAUAAUGCUGUUAUAGCUCCCGAUGAGUCUCCUAAGGCCCAUUUAUCUUUCCCAGAAGUCACCUGAUUUCCUGUAGGCACCCCUCUCCCCUCCUCUUCUCCUCCGAGAGCCCCCUAAGGUGGUACCUAAGCCCCAAAUUUGAACCGCCCCCUUGAAUCAUAUUUUUCUGUGAACUCCCAAGUAUGUACGUACGUGGAUAAAAAUCUGUCUUUUCUCUCACACAUCUGACUUUUGUCCGUUUAAUUUGCAGCUCUCCAAUUCUGAACCUAAGAAGGUGGAGAGGCGAGGCUCAGAGAACCCCCGGCUGAUGCCCGCGCCACGCUCCCCAGGCCUGCGCCCUUCGAUGACCCACAACUCACCCGUUAGGGACAAUCCCUGGGACCCGCUCCAGCUCAGCAGUUUGCUCUGAGGUCCGGGCGACCUCCUCUGCCUCUCUGGGCCUCAGUCUCUCCUCCUGCAGCGUGAAGGCCUCUGGCCCAGUCACACCAGUCGGCUGAGCCCCUUCCCGGUCUGGGAUGUCCACAUGGGGUUUGGGACCACCCACACUGACUCGGCUUUGCCACUUAGCCAUGCAGAGCCCAGCGCACUGAGACGUGUCUUUUGGCCCCAAAAAGAGGCCAUUUGGAGAGGGCAGACGGGCCUCUCCUGCCAGGGCUGGAGGGAGCGCAGGGAGCCGGAGCCUGGGGCCGGGAUGCAGGUCAGGCUUAUUUUAUGUCAGGAUAACUCGGGCCAUGGAGGAGGCGGCGUUGCGAAAAAAACGUUUAAAACAUCUCGGAAAAUGUGCAGCCUCUUCUUUUCCACAGGACUCAGACCCUAUCCUCCCAGCAUCUUGGGUGAGGUGGGACUGGGCGUGGAGGGA